rnacentral:tRNA from 1 species
UGGCCCGUGGUGUAAUUGGCAACACGCUUGACUCUGGAUCAAGAGACUCCUGGUUCGAGUCCAGGCGGGCCAACCA